GAAAUAACUCAAGAGAUGACGUAUAUUCCUAAACCAAGUUCCAUGAUGGAGAGUAUACAACCCCCUUCACAUAGAUCUGGCGUCAAUCGAUGGGUGGAUUUUUAUCUCUCUACUCCCAAAUUACAAGAUAGCGCCGUUUCGGCAGACUGAUCGUAGCAAUGGAGAGUAACCUACCCAUUAAAGCGAGUGGAAACUGAUCAAAAUAUUCUGAGUUCGAUGCUCCGAGCAAAUCAAAUAUUUUUGUAUAUAUAUUAUUUUGUUGAAAAAUAAAUGAGAAAGUUAUUAUUUCAUUUUUUAAGUAUUUUUUGCGCCGAACAAAUCCAAAAUGUAUAGUUUAGCAUAGUAAUUAUUAUUUAUAUGCAUUAUUGUUUAUAUGUAUAAUAUACUUUUAGGUGAUUUUAUGCACUAUGGUUUACAAAUAUAAAUUCUUGAAAAUAACAUGUCUAACACAAC